rnacentral:snRNA from 1 species
AAAACAAACACUUACCACCCAAUUCUUCAGACAAGAUUUGCUGAUUUUGUGAC